UACAAACUGACUGGUAAGAAACGACUUG
rnacentral:piRNA from 1 species